rnacentral:lncRNA from 1 species
CUUGCAAAAGGUUACCUAUGAAUGCAUCCUCCCACGUUAAGUGCCUUUAACUCAAUGUCCCUCGUUCAAUCUAGUCCAAAGCAGAAGUGCCCAUGACUCACCAUAUUAAGUGCAGCGUUUCUGAUGUGUCCAUCAUUUUUGUGUCACUUCAGUGGAAGCCUUCAAUUCCAAUUUUACACUCUCAGUCCCCUCUGUAUGGGAAGGCUGGUUGCAACAGACUACACCACUGCCUCUGCUCCCUCAAAAUGCACCUCCUAAACCAUGCUCCAAAGAAAACCUCUGUUACACUUUCUGAAUCUUUAAAGAAAUGAUUCCACACCAAUGUAGCAAUAGAUAUUAAAGGACUCACCAGUCCCCUUUCAAGAGGAUGAAUAUUACCCUCCGGGACUUGCCAGAGAUUUGAUGCAACAAGCAGUGGUAGGCUGGAGGAAAAAGAUAUGUUUCCUUUUUUUUUUCUAGGCAAACCUUUUUGUGACACCCUCAUAUCUCAUGGCCAUCUUGUCAACCCAAACAACAGCUGGUCGUUUACAUCUUUCAUUUUAUGCAGAUUUAUUGCAUGCCCACUGAGUGUUGAUGUGCUCAGUGCUGGGGAUCCUGAGACCAAUAAGACACAUUAUUUGACUGCUGGAACUUACCAUCUAGUUGGGAAAGACAUGAAGAAAUUUAGGAUGACAGAAGGGAUCUUCGUAUUUAGAAUAAUAGACAGACUGAAGAGGACUUCAACCUACGGGCAAGGAAUCCACGAAGCAGCAUCCAGCAGGGUAUUGAUACAGCCAGACUUGCAGCAAGAUGGAGAAUAAAUUGAUGGUAAGUGGCUUGCAGGAGGCCUGAGCAUAUGAUAAAACACAGUUAAAAGAGUAUAACUCUUUGAUCUAGCUUUUAUAAACUCAGGCAGAGCAUAAGAAUUCCAGACAGAUUAAGAGAAAAAAGCCCUGGGCUGAGAGAGGCAGGAAAUCAGGGAUCACGAGAGAAGCAAAAUUAAUAAGAAGGAUGAAUAGAUGUAUAGACAUAGAUAGAUAGAUAGAUAGAUAGAGAGAGAGAGAGAGAGAGAGAGAGAGAGAUUUAUUACGGGAAUUAGCCCAUGUGAUGAUGAAGGCUGAGAAGUCCCACAACAUGCUAUCUGCAAGCUGGAGAACCAGGGAAGGUAGUGAGGCAAUUCAGUCUGAGUUCUAAGGCCUCACAAUUUGGGGGGCUGCCAGUCUAAUUUCUGGAGUCUGAAGGCCUGAGAACCUUGAGCCCUGGAGGGCAGGAGAAGAGGGAUGCUCUAGCUCUAGAAGAGAGAAAGGGAAUUCACCUUCCCUCAGCCUUUUUGUUCCAUCUGGGCCCUCAACAGAUUGGAUGGUGCCUACCCACACUGGUGAGGGUGAUCUUCUUUACACAGUCCACUGAUUCAAGUGCUGAUCUCUUCCAGAAACACCCGCACAGACACAUCCAGAAAUAAUGUUACCAACUAUCUAGCAUCCAUUAACACAUAAAGUUAACCUUGACUGCAGGAGACUGGGUUACAAUUCUUUCUUUGCCACUAACACUUAAUGGCUGUAAGUAUUACGACACUGGCUCAAAGGGCUAAGUAAAUUUAGUGAGGAUUAGCAGUGAGGAGGAAGGUGGUGCAGGGGAAAGUGGAAAGAGGACAAAUGAGAAAGGCCUAUAAGGAUCCUGGUUAGAGGGAAGGAGUUCCAUUGAGAAAUGAAACCACCAGACAAAUGAAUGUGACAGGUCAAUUUAAACACCAGAAACUGGUGUGUGCCCUAUAAUUUGGGAUGGCAUUAAUGCAUCUGAAGAGACACCUGUUCCCUGGGUGUGGGGAGCACUGGACUCUCAGGGGUACAGUGUAGCCACAC